ACAUUUAACUGUGAAAUAGCAUACAUGUCUAUUUGUAUUUAGGUAGAAAAGAAAGAGUACUGGGUUUUGGCCUGUGAAGGAAAAUUCAGAAUACCGGAGGGAUGAGUUUGGCAUAUAGAAAUGACGGUUGGUCAGGGGAAUUGAAAUCAAGCCUCAAGAUUUGGAUCUCUGCGAUGUCCUGGAUCUGGCUUUACAUUUGAACUCCCUGUUUGGGGAAGAUUGAUGGUUACCAAAAGGAGAGAAUCACGCUUUGCUGGAAAAGCUGCUGUGGGUUAAGGACUCGCAGGUGGACAGUCAGGGUAGCAGCGUCUGAUCUCAUUCAACCCUGUGCCUCAGCUGAAACAACCCUGGCCCCGUUUAACAGUGCCCAUAGCAGGGUUUCUGCCAAGCAAGUCAAUUCACUUUCGAACAGAAGGAGAGCCUGUCUGUACUGUCUGGACGGGCGGGUGUCCCUGCCCUGCUCUGCCAUGCUGGGAGGAGGAGAGGGACAGCAGCUCAGAGCGGCACGGUGGGACAUCGCUCCUGAAACACGCCAUUGAACCACAGCUGCCCCGCAAAAUGCUCUUCGUGAGUCAUUAAAAAUAUUUCCUAGACUUGUCCUUGUGAAGGUGUAUUUCAUUAAUAGCUGUUGUUUGGGCUUUUAACACGGAAAAAGCCUCGUUUAUAAAUCAUCUCCUAAUUUCCAGGUAUAAAGGUGAAACGUGGUAUCAUACAAGAUGUGAAAGUAUCAAACGUGGAGCAUCCUACUCCCUAAAAAAACAGCUUUUGCUGCUUCAACCUGUAGGAAUUAGUAAAGUCCCUCUGCCUGCAAAACAAAUGUAAACAUAGUGCAGCAAAUAUACUGUGCUAAGCACUCUACCUAUUUCUGUUCUUUCCUGGCAACAGAUCCUGGAGAGAUGCUCUCUGCGAUGCUCUGCUCUUUGAAAGAGUCAAGCCAACAGCAAAAGCUUAAAACCCUCCAGACCAGGAGGACCUCGGGGGCCACUGCUGAGGGAGAGGCAUGAGGGCCAGUGCUGCUCCUGCAGCAAGAAGCCUUCCCCGCUGUCGCUCCCCCUCCAGCCCACCCACCGCGCAGGAGUUUGGCAGCGGUUACAGAAGGGAGCCCUGGUGCCGGUGCAACUUCUCCUUUCCUCCUGCCCCCACCAGGGGCCCAGCACUGGUCCUGCCUGUCCCUGCCAGCUUUGAUGAUCAGGGGGCUGGAGCCCCUCUGCUGUGAGGACAGGGAUGAGUUGGGAUUGUUCAGCCUGAAGAGAAGGCUCUGGGGAGACCUUAUAGCAGCUUUCCAGUAUCUGAAGGUAGCCUACAAGAAAGCUGGAUGGGGACAUUUUACAAGGGCAUGUAGUGAUAGGAGAAGGGGUAAUGGCUUCAAACUGGAUGAGGGUAGAUUUAGAUUAACCAGCUGGAAGAAAUUUUUCACUCUGAGGGUGGUGAGACACUGGCCCAGGUUGCCCAGAGAAGCUG